ACACAUGCAGUCGAGGGGUAGCAGGAUUAAGCUUGCUUAAUUGCUGACGACCGGCGCACGGGUGCGUAACGCGUAUGCAACCUACCUUAUACUGGGGUAUAGCCCGGAGAAAUUCGGAUUAAUCCCCCAUAGUACUAUUUAACCGCAUGGUUAGAUAGUUAAAGCAUUGCGGUAUAAGAUGGGCAUGCGUCCUAUUAGCUAGAUGGUGAGGUAACGGCUCACCAUGGCUACGAUAGGUAGGGGGCCUGAGAGGGUGGUCCCCCACACUGGUACUGAGACACGGACCAGACUCCUACGGGAGGCAGCAGUGAGGAAUAUUGGUCAAUGGGCGCAAGCCUGAACCAGCCAUGCCGCGUGCAGGAAGAAUGCCCUAUGGGUUGUAAACUGCUUUUAUUUGGGAAUAAACCUCUUUACGUGUAGAGAGCUGAAGGUACCAAAUGAAUAAGCACCGGCUAACUCCGUGCCAGCAGCCGCGGUAAUACGGAGGGUGCAAGCGUUAUCCGGAAUCAUUGGGUUUAAAGGGUCCGCAGGCGGAUUUAUAAGUCAGUGGUGAAAUCCUAUCGCUUAACGAUAGAACUGCCAUUGAUACUGUAAGUCUUGAAUUCGGUCGGAGUGGGCGGAAUGUGUAGUGUAGCGGUGAAAUGCAUAGAUAUUACACAGAACACCGAUAGCGAAGGCAGCUCACUAGGCCUGAAUUGACGCUCAGGGACGAAAGCGUGGGGAUCAAACAGGAUUAGAUACCCUGGUAGUCCACGCUGUAAACGAUGAUUACUCGUUUUCGGCGAUAUACAGUCGGAGACUAAGCGAAAGUGAUAAGUAAUCCACCUGGGGAGUACGAU
rnacentral:rRNA from 1 species